rnacentral:rRNA from 1 species
AUAGGGGAAAAAUUAAUAAAAUAAAUUUUUAAUAAAAUAAAUUUUAAUGGGGGUUAAAGUUAAAGUAUUAAAAAAGAAAAAAUUAUUAAUUUUAUAGGGGAUUAGUAUUGUGAAAGAAGUUUGAAAUAAGAUUAAAUAUGAAUUUUUAUAAAAGUAAUUUUUAUUUAAUGUAUCUUGUGUAUCAGAGUUUAUUAAUAAUAAUUUUUAAGGGGAAAAUUUCUCGAAUUUAAAAGAGAGAAUUAAUUAUAAAAGUUAUUGUUGAAAAAAUAUUUUUAAUAAUUAAUUAGAAAUGAAAUGUUAAUCGUUUUUAAAUAUAUCUAGUUUUUUUAGAAAUAAAUUUAAUUUAGAAAUUAAUUUUUUUUUUAGAAAAUUAAUUUUUUUUUUUAAAAAAAUUAAUUUUAAUAAUUUAAGGGAUAAGCUUUAAAUUAAAAAUUUAUAAUAAGAAAAAAUAAUAAUUUGAAAUUUUUAAAAUUUAUAUUGUUUAAAAAUUAUAAUUUUUUAUAAAUAAUUUCAAUUAAAAGUAAAAUUUUAAAUUAAUUAAUAAAUUUAAGUUUUUAUAAAAAAAUAUUUUUUAAUAAAAUUUAAUUAGAUAUAAUGAUAAAAUUAGUAUAAAUAAAAUAAAAAUAAUAUAUUAAAUUAUUUGAGAAAUUAUUUUUAAGGAAUUCGGCAAAUUUUUAUAUUCACUUGUUUAUCAAAAACAUGUCUUUUUGAAAAUAAUUUAAAGUCUAAUCUGCCCACUGAUAAAAAUUAAAGGGCUGCAGUAUUUUGACUGUACAAAGGUAGCAUAAUCAUUAGUCUCUUAAUUGGUGACUUGUAUGAAAGAUUGGAUGAAAUAUAAACUGUCUCUAAAAUAUUUAUAGAAUUUAAUUUUUUAAUUAAAAAGUUAAAAUGAAUUUAAAAGACGAGAAGACCCUAUAGAGUUUUAUAAAUUAUUUAAUAAAUAUUUAUUUAUAAAAAUUAAAAUAAAAAUUGAAUUAUUUAUUUUGUUGGGGUGAUAGAAAAAUUAAAUUAACUUUUUUUAAAAAGAAACAUAAAUAAAUGAAUAUUUGAUCCAUAAUUUUUGAUUAAAAGAAAAAAUUACCUUAGGGAUAACAGCGUAAUUUUUUUUUUUAGUUCAAAUAAAAAAUAAAGUUUGCGACCUCGAUGUUGGAUUAAGAUAAAAUUUAAAUGCAAAAGUUUAAAAUUUUUGAUCUGUUCGAUCAUUAAAAUCUUACAUGAUCUGAGUUCAAACCGGUGUGAGCCAGGUUGGUUUCUAUCUUUAAAAAAAUGAAAUAUUUUAGUACGAAAGGAUCAAAUAUUUAAAAUAGUUUUAUUAUAAUGAAUUUUAGUAAUUAAUUUAUAAAAUAAA